UGGCGGACGGGUGAGUAACGCGUGGGUAACCUGCCUCACACUGGGGGACAACAGUUGGAAACGACUGCUAAUACCGCAUAAGCCCACGGGUCGGCAUCGACCUGAGGGAAAAGGAGCAAUCCGCUUUGAGAUGGCCUCGCGUCCGAUUAGCUAGUUGGUGAGGUAACGGCCCACCAAGGCGACGAUCGGUAGCCGGACUGAGAGGUUGAACGGCCACAUUGGGACUGAGACACGGCCCAG
rnacentral:rRNA from 1 species